rnacentral:rRNA from 1 species
UACGGAGGGUGCAAGCGUUAAUCGGAAUUACUGGGCGUAAAGCGCACGCAGGUGGCUGAGAUAGUCGAUUGUGAAAGCCCUGGGCUUAACCUGGGAAUUGCAUUCGAUACUACUCGGCUAGAGUAUGAGAGAGGGCAGUGGAAUUCCCGGUGUAGCGGUGAAAUGCGUAGAUAUCGGGAGGAACAUCAGUGGCGAAGGCGGCUGCCUGGCUCAAAUACUGACACUCAGGUGCGACAGCGUGGGGAGCAAACAGG